GUUAUACUUGGAGGCCAUGUCACCUGAGAGUCAAUGGGCAACGAUCAAAUUUCACCUUGAGCAGAUUCUUUUGUUUGCUUUUUAGUCACAAAUAGCUUGGCCCUAAGUGGUGGCUCCCAUUCUUGUAAGAUGCGUUUAUUCAUCGUGUAAUCACCAGUUCCCUGUAGUGGGGGCGUGGAUGGAGUGUCAGAGGCUCCUGCUGGUCUUUAGGGUGUCUGGCCUCCAGGAAUCCUAGAGUAAAUUGGGAACUACAGCACUCGAUGUUAGAGUUGUCGUGAAGAUUAAAGAAGGUGACGACUGGACAACUCCCAGCCCAAUACCUGAAACUGUACCAGCACCCAGUGAGCACUGCUAUUCCUGUGACUGCUGCACAUUUGCCUUAUCUCAGCAGUAUGCCUGUGUCACUUUUUUGGCACUCUUUUCUCAUGGGUACAUUCAGAGAAGAGGAAUGUUUGUUCACUGGUGAAGAGAACAUCCCGUGUACUAUCGUGUAGAAGUUGUAGUAGACGCUGUGGUCUUUCCAACAACAAACAAACUGCUGGGACAGGACCCAGGAGGUUCCGGAGGAUCAGGAGGUCCACCUGGGAGAAGAGCUGAUCGGCUAGUAGGAGAGCUGGAAAAGCAACAGACACCUACUUAGUCCCUUCCCUGGGGCCCGGCUCCAGUCUGAGCUGUCACGCCACAGCAAAGGCAUCACUUCAGGACAGCAAAGCCCCUGUCUCCCUCCCUUCCAGCUCCUCAGACUUCACCCUGGUAACACGUUUGUUUAAAAAACAUAUUUUUCCCCCUUGUAAAGAAUCUAGGAUACAAGGGGUCAGCCCAGCAGUUUAGGUAUCAAGAAGAAACUGCUCUCGGAGCUAAAGUAAGAAACAGUGCCUGUCUAUAGCGCAAAUAAAGAGUUGGAACAAGAUAAAAGGCAGUGAUCCUUCACCAGCCAAUCUCCAGGUGGAUCUCAGGAAUCCUGUGUGAUGUGUGACAUCAUCUGGGAAAGCCCCGCAGUUGCCAUGGAGACGCACCUCCCAGGCCUCGGGAAGCUGCCCCACCUCUCUGCCACCUUCUUCCAGACUGGUCAUGGCAGGCUGGCUCUGAUCUGGGUCCCAGACAGAGGGGAAUUGGUUUGCCUUUUUUCUUUUCUUUUCUUCUUUUUUUUCUUUUCUUUUCUUUGUAAACUGCAAUGACCGUGUGUGUGUGUGUGUUUGUGUGUGUGUGUCUGUGUAUGCAUAUAUAUAAAGAAAGAGAGAGAAAAAAAAACAGAGUGCCCCACGACGCAAGGUGCCCACCUUGACAAAUACACUGUGGGCAGACAAUAAACCCUUAUGAGGUUCUGGAGUGGCAGCAGCAAUGGCCUCCUGCCCUCCUGGCGGGCUGGAGCCUCCUCCUGGCAGGUGGGGUAGGGUUGAAACAUCAGAAAUGCCGAGAAAUGUCUCGGUGCAGCCUGAUUACAGAGACACUUGUGAUCCAUGAUUUCUGCUGCUCCACUGCUGAAAAAAAGAAAAAGGCCUGGAGUGCCUCAUCCGCUGUGGUUUCUCUCCCAUUUAAGUAAAAUUGGAAACUUUUUUAAAAAGAAAGCACAAUCAUGUAAUUAGUGCAGGCUCUCUUUUCUGGUUUUUUGAAAAGAGGCAUUUUCACACACACCUUAGUCCAUCUUAAACCCUUUCAACGUUCUGCAUGCUCUUCCUAAUUCCAGAGAGACAGAAUUUUUAUUUCCUUCGAUCGCAGGGAUACCUACAAUGGAAUUUACGUCUCAAUUAACAGUUUGACCAAGGGUUUACAAGUGGUUGAAUGGAGUACAAAUGAAGAAUUCGAAGAAACGCAAAGAGAGAAAGUGGACCGCCCAUAGACACCUGCUCUAUGCAAACAAUGGACUCCUUCCCUUUAUCUUAAGGGGUCUUACGCUACCUGUUUCUACGUCCUUUGCUGGUUCCCAUGACAGAAAUACACACGUUUCAGACAAGAUUAAAAUACAAAAUCCCAACCAUAGCCUCAUCUUUGCACACACACUCUCUCAUUUCCUGUUGGUACCAGCACUUUUCUAUUUCGGUCCUGGGUAUGGCUCACUAACCUACAGCAGCUUCCUCAUUUGCACUUGACGUCUUCCCAAACAGCAUUUAAGGGACGGAGCACAGCCCAGAAGGCAGAAGCGAAGGACAACUGCCAACCCCAAGGGGGAGCAGAGAUCUGGGAAGGAAGACACUCAUGGUAAAGGUAAAACCAAAGAAAUCACACGCCUAGGAAAUAACAGAUUCUUCUGCAUAAAAUAGACUUGUGAGAAACUAAUUGCUACAGAUUUUAUCUCGCCCAAAAUAAACCGCAGGGAAGAUAUCAUGAGCAUACUGUAACGCAUAAAAUCUUGACACUCGUGCUAAAAUACUCAAAAUAUACCCUGGAAGGUUGGAGCUUGUCUUCAGUGUUGGGUUCUGCAAAUUAUUUCAAACAGCUCGCCAUAUUUGUGGUAUCACAUUGAACCGGGUGUGAGAGGCGGGGAAGAAACAAAGUAGACACAGCUCUUCCUUGGAGAUGUCUAUCCCAGAAGGCGGUUUCCGAACAGCCCAGGAGAGAGGAAAGCUCCAUUUCAGAGAUGCAGACAUGUUGGCCAGGACCGCGGAGGGAGGUGGCCAAAGGACCCCCUUCUCAGAGGCAGGGACUUGGAAUUUCUGCCCCACGGCCUCUGGGAGAGUGGAGGCUGCUCUCGGGCAAUUAUCCCAAAUGAUUGUUUAUCACUCCCAGUUCCAGAAGGCCUGGAAAGAUUACAUUCCAGAGACUUGAUCACUGAAAAUGCCCGGGUGGAAGCUGUAAUUACGGCUUUCUCAGAGCCUACAGCAUCUCCCCUGGGAUUAUUUGCAUAAAGUCAUUUCCUGUGGCAAUUGCUGAACACAACAGUGCCCUCACUGUCAUCCUACAGGCCAUGAAGAGGGCUGCCUAGGCGAGUGUUUCAGCAUAAAUGUGUGCUCAGCAACCUCUGUGCGGCUGCCUCUUUGUAAAAAUAAACAUGCGGUGGAGUUUCUCUGUCCCCCGUCAAGCCCUGCAGUUAAUUAUAGGAUAUCUGGAGUCGUCAAGCAUUCCCAUGGAGCAUGGAGGGAGGUGACUUUACAACUAGCAGGUUUCCAUCAGAAGGUGACGGCAGUGACAGUGGAGCUCAGACUGGACUGGCGCUCCCCUUACUAGAAACCAGAGGGAGAGGAAAUCAAGAGCCAGGGCGGGGUGAAUUUCAAACAGCCCAGGGCUGGAGCCGGAACGGGAACCCCAGCUCCACCUCAUCAGGGCCAAAUAACCAGCUGCUAUGAGGGGGCAACAUGCUAUCGGGAUAAAGCAUAUGAAACCAUAGAACCUUCAACAAUAGGGCGUGAAGAAAAAAACAGAAAAAUAAGGCCACACGGGCCCAGAAGGAAUGCAUUGCUCAGUGGCCCCAACAGAGAAAGUGGAACCACGUGAGAUAUUUCCAUAAAACUCAGUCUGCACUCUCAACCCCAUGGUGGAAGUCACAGGGACUACCCUUGAAGAGGCUCUGUACAUCCUACAGGAGCCUGCAGAGAAAAAGGCAAGCAGCUGGGAAAGAACUGGAUGCAGGGGCUUGGUGGGGACAAUGUCCCCCUUCUACUCACAGCGGAGUGGGUCGGGAGGAGAGCCCUGUGGUGAGAUCCCGAUAGGCAGAGGCCGCGCUUCCUGAUGCCUUCCUGAGGAGGAGUUCAGGAGCUUUCUCUCACUUCUCUUCUCUGAACAAUGCCAUGCCUGUCAUGCUGUAGCUCCCUGUUCCAAACCACAUGCACAUGUAUACAUGCCUAUACACACAUAUGUGGACACAUGCAGACGUACACGUACAGGCAGCCACACACAUGCAUACAUGCCUAUACACACAUGUAUGUGUACACAGAGAUGUACACAUACAGACAGGCACACACAUGCUUAUAUAGGUGCGUACAUGCAUGCACACAUUGUACGUGUGUACACAUAGGCAUGUGCACACAUACAUGCACAUGUUAACACACAUAUAGACAUGUACUUUCUUGCACACAAACCUACAUACACAUAAAGAUUUACACGUGCACAUGCAUGUGCACAUAUGCAAACACAGGCACAGGUACAUGUACCAUACAGGCAUCCACAUACACAUGUGUACACAUACCACAUGGGCAUGUAGACAUACAUACACAGAACAUUCAAAUUGGCUUUUUUUUUGAGAGAGGGUCUUGCUCUGUCACCCAGGCUGGAGCACAGUGACAUGAUCAUGGCUCACUGCUCCUCGACCUUCUGGGCUCGAGCAACCCUCCACCUCAGCCUCCUGAGUAGCUGGGACCACAGGCAGGCACCACCACCCCUGCCUAAUCUUUUCAAAUUUAAUAGAGACAAGGUCUUAACCUAGGUCUCACUAUGAUGCCUGGGCUGGUCUGGAACUCCUGUGCUCCAUUGAUCCUCCUGCCUUGGCCUCCCAAAGUGCUGGGAUUAUAGGUGUGAGCCACCAUGCCCAGCUGACUUAUUCUUCAUAUUAACUUUACUUACACUACUAAUUGUUUGCUUAAACGUCAGUCUGCCUCCUAAUUUCCAAUCUUAUAGGCAAGGAUGAUGACCUAACACCCAUCAUAAAUGACCCAUGAAAACUUUGAGCUGCUAGAUUCACCUUGACUUUUAUCUUCAGCCACUUUGCCAUGGGAGCCCCUUAGAUGACCCUAGAGGAUCUCAAACAAAUGCUUCCCAAGAAUGCACUCCAAUAAAGUACAGAAUGCCACUGUUUCCCAGGCAAGGACUGACGCCAGUGUGUGUCCAGCCAUGCACAGGAAAGUAACAAUGCAAUCUUACACACUUUCAUUUGUCAUAGUGCAUGAUUUCUUUAAAAGGAAAUACCUAAAACACUCAGACUUAGCCUUCAAGGGAGCAUCACCUAGGAAAGGUUUUCUCCCCUCUCCUGACUGUGGCACAAAACGAAGAAUCUCCAAUGUGCACGGGGACACUUUAAUGAGAUUUCCGUGACAUCACUCUCUUUCUUCCCGUGCCUGAUGAUUCACGGCAGGCUUUUCAGGUUUCUUUGGUGCAAUGGUCCAAUUACAAACUUUAUGCAAAAACGGUGUCAGGUUACAACAUGUUGCAGAAGCACACGGGCAGGACAUGGGCAGAUUCGUUUCUGAUGGAUGUUUUGCGGUGACUAAGAAGCAGCUCCCAAGAGUGAAAUGUUCUCCACACGUCUCAGAACCACCGGUGGCACCUCGGCCUCUGUCACAGCAGCAUCGCUGCCCACGCCAGUUGCCCAUGCAAACUUUGCAGGGCAAGUGGCUGCAUCCGCUGGCUCUCCUAUUCCGUGCACCACUGCCCUCCUCUACACACAGGGAGAUGGCAGAUCACUUUUCCUCUUUCCCAUCUUUGUGAGAUGAGAAAGUUUUCCUUGAUAUUGUCUCCUGUCAAAUUCUAAGGUAUGGGCUGAUGCAUGCCUUCCAAGGAAGACAGAUCAAGUAUCAAGGCAGCUCACCCCAGACCACCACUGAAUUUCCAGCAUUUCUACCCCAAACCUACUCUUUUGGAGAUCUAACAAGCACCCCAAAUGAAUUUUCACAUUUUUCUCCAAUUCCAUUGUUACAAAUAUUUUCAUCUAUUCAUUUUAGUUUGUAUGCAUCGAGCAGUGUUAUAAACACAAUUUUGCCCUCCCCCAUAAAUUCAUACGCUGAAGCCCUGAUCCCCACAACCUCAGAAUGUGACUGUAUUUUCAGACAGGACAUUUUAAAAGGUGGCUAAGUUAAAAUGGUUAUUUUAGGAUGAACCCUAAUCCGAUGUGACUGGUGUCCUUAGAAGAAGAGGACAUUUGGAUACGCAGAGACACACAGAGGAAUGACCCUGUGAGGACACGAUGAAAGAUCACAUCUACAAGUCAUGAGAGAGGCCUUGGGAGAAACCGACCCUGCCCAUGCUUUGAUCUCGACUUCCAGCCUCCAGAGCUGUGAGAAAAUAGAUUUCUGGGUUUCAGCUGCCCAGUGUGUAGUAUUUGUUAUGGCAGCCUGCAUAGAAUAAUACAAGCACUCGAGGUGUCCCCGGCAUUGUUACGGGUGAAGGAGACAUGGUGAAUGAACACCAGGCAAUGCCCUCUUGUCUUAUGUUCUAGUGGAAAAUCCACAUACAAUUUGCUGAAGAGCGUAGCUGAACGAGUGAGUGUAUAAAUGAAUUAAUAAAUAAACUAUUUUUCCAGAGUUCACAAAAAUUUAAACUUGAAGUGAGAGUAUUUAGAUGGUUUGUUUUCUAAUUC
rnacentral:lncRNA from 1 species